CCUACUGGUGACAUCAUUGAGGCAUCUUGGUCAAUGGGCGCAAGCCUGAACCAGCCAAGUCGCGUGAGGUCUUCCUUUCCUCUUUCUUUUCCCCCUCUUUUUUCUUUUCUCCCGUCCCUCCACGUGUGGCGGGAAAGAGAGUACCCGAAGAAAAAGCAUCGGCUAACUCCGUGCCAGCAGCCGCGGUAAUACGGAGGAUGCGAGAGUUAUCCGGAUUUAUUGGGUUUAAAGGGUGCGUAGGCGGAAGGUUAAGUCAGCGGUCAAAUGUCGGUGCUCAACACCGGCCUGCAGUUGAAACUGGUCUUCUUGAGUGAGCGAGAAGUAUGCGGAAUGCGUGGUGUAGCGGUGAAAUGCAUAGAGAUCACGCAGAACUCCGAUUGCGAAGGCAGCAUACCGGCGAUCAAAUGACGCUGAGGCACGAAAGCGUGGGGAUCGAACAGGAUUAGAGAAAAAGGGAGUC
rnacentral:rRNA from 1 species